GAAAGGCCAGAGAUGGCGGCCAGGAUUCCCUUUGCAUCGGCUCUCUGGAUUCUGCUUUUAAUUUCCCUGCUCUCCAGACUGGGGGGCGCUCCCUGAGCCACUCCUUAUCCUGAGGCUCCCUAGGAAAUCACUCCCCGAUUAUCUGAGGAUCCUACCAGGCUGGGGAAAGAAGAGCAAGUUUCUUCGAAGGCAUGCCCCACCCCACCACACACCCUUCACUGAGAUCCUGGAAUACAGGGAUGGGACAGAAAGCCUGCCCCUCCUCCACAGACCUGGAACCUGAGACCCAAAGAGGGAAGAGUCACUCAAGGUCACAUGGCAGUCAGUGGCAAAGGAUCAUCUUGUUCCUCCGCUUCACACAAUACUGACCAUCGGACUGACCCCUCCUUCCCCCAACCACCGUUACAAGCACGCGUUGUCCUGUGCUCACAGGGUCAUGGACAAGGAAUGUCAUCCUCUCCCAACUCCCAGGGCCCUUGGCAGUCACACCCACUGUGGCUCAUGCAGCCUUAGGGACAGGCACAUGAAUGCUGCCCACCCCCAGGACAUUUGCCUAAUCUGGGACCCUUCUAGAAGCCUCCCUACCAGGCAGGCAUUAGGGGUGCUGUACUCCCGGUCCCCAUAAGGGAAUUAGGUGACAGUCUCCAGGGCAAGAAAACCCACAACUUGGGGGUACCACAGGGAGCUGCUUACCCUCAAAGCCCAGCUCUAGCCCCAGGACACCCUGUCUCCACAGAGCCCACAAGCUCGCAGCCUUGUCAAAGACACCUCCCCACCGCCCAUACAGGGUCUAACUCACGGGUGACACAUGGGCUCAGGGUUAUAUACACACGGCACACACAAGA